UUGACAAUUUUAUGGACAAAACUUCGGUCCAUCCCUACUAGCAGAGUGAUACGUACCAACACUGAUCUCUCUCUCUCUCUCUCUCUCUCUCUCUCUCUCUCUCUCUCUCUCUCUCUCUCUCUCUCUCUCUCUCUUUCUCUGUGUGUCCUCCGCAGGUCUUAAGACGUACCUGAUAUCGGGGCGGAAGGUGAAGUUGUGUCAGUGGAUGAGUCCUCCUCCUCCGUCUGAGAUCAGAGCGUCUGUCAGCUCCUCGUCCUUCAGUCCAGACGUCUCCGCAUCGGCCGGCGCUCCCACAGACGCACCGGACAGAGCCAAGUCCGCCUGUCCCUCAUGUAGCCUGAUAACAUCUGAAGACGGACUUGUUCACAGCAACAGCUGCACAGAUCCUGAACACAAAACCAGCAACAGCAAGGUGCCGGCAGGCAGGGGUCCUAAAAGUGUGAAUGGGCUGUUGAGUCCUGGUGUGGAGCAGCCGCUGACGCACAGCCAGACGUCUCUGUGUGAGAUGCUGCAGGACAAGGAGAAGAAGUGGCCCGCCGUCGGAGGAGGAACCAUGGACCACUCUGCCCUCAUCCCUCUGCGCUCCAAGAACUUCCGCGAGAGGAGCGACGCGCACUUCGUGGACGUGAUAAAAGAGGACAGGUAGGAGUCCGCGGCCCGCUGGGACAUGAAUGUCAGACAAGAUGGAGCGGUAUUGUUUAACGGCGGCCGGCGGAGGUCAUGCUGUGCCCGCAGGGACUCUGCAUGCUGUUUGAUGUAGUGUGCGAGUGAGUGUGUGUGUGUGUGAGUGAUGCACUGUGGGCCAUUUCUCAUGUCUUUCUCUCUAAACGCUGUCA
rnacentral:lncRNA from 1 species